UUUCACAUAAAAUACUGCUAAAUAAACUUCAAAAAUAUGGUCUAAGAGGACUUGCAUAUAACAUCCUAGAAAGUUAUCUGCUAAAUAGACAGCAACAUGUUUCUAUAGAUGGAGAAAUCAGUAAAGGAAGAAUUAUAUCUUACGGAGUACCACAGGGAACAGUCUUGGGACCAAUUCUCUUCAAUAUUUAUAUCAAUGAUCUAUUCAGAGUGAAUGUAACAGGUAAAAUAAUAAGUUUUGCAGAUGACACAGCUAUUUUCUAUGAUGCAAAUACAUGGAAUAAUUUAAAACAAAAAGCUGAAACAGAUUUUGCUACAAUUCAGAAAUGGUUUCAGUUUAAUAAACUUACCUUAAAUAU
rnacentral:lncRNA from 1 species